ACAUGCAGAGAACUUUCCAGAGAUGGAUUGGUGCCUUCGGGAACUCUGACACAGGUGCUGCAUGGCUGUCGUCAGCUCAUGUCGUGAGAUGUUGGGUUAAGUCCCGUAACGAGCGCAACCCUUGUCCUUAGUUACCAGCACGUUAUGGUGGGCACUCUAAGGAGACUGCCGGUGACAAACCGGAGGAAGGUGGGGAUGACGUCAAGUCAUCAUGGCCCUUACGGCCUGGGCUACACACGUGCUACAAUGGUCGGUACAAAGGGUUGCCAAGCCGCGAGGUGGAGCUAAUCCCAUAAAACCGAUCGUAGUCCGGAUCGCAGUCUGCAACUCGACUGCGUGAAGUCGGAAUCGCUAGUAAUCGUGAAUCAGAAUGUCACGGUGAAUACGUUCCCGGGCCUU
rnacentral:rRNA from 1 species